rnacentral:rRNA from 2 species
CACGGGGGGAGCAAGCGUUGUUCGGAAUCACUGGGCGUAAAGGGCGUGUAGGCGGUCAGGUAAGUGAAAUGUGAAAUGCCUCGGCUCACCCGAGGACCGGCAUCUCAUACUGCCUGACUUGAGUACGGGAGAGGAUGUGGGAAUUCCUGGUGUAGCGGUGAAAUGCGUAGAUAUCAGGAGGAACACCGGUGGCGAAGGCGCACAUCUGGCCCGAUACUGACGCUGAGGCGCGAAAGCUAGGGGAGCAAACGGG